AUUGAACGCUGGCGGCAGGCCUAACACAUGCAAGUCGAACGAGUGGCGGACGGGUGAGUAAUGUCUGGGAAACUGCCUGCUGGAGGGGGAUAACUACUGGAAACGGUAGCUAAUACCGCAUACCAUCAGAUGUGCCCAGAUGGGAUUAGCUAGUUGGGGGGGUAACGGCUCACCAAGGCGACGAUCCCUAGCUGGUUUGAGAGGAUGACCAGCCACACGGGAACUGUGACACGGUCCAGAGUCCGACGGGAGGCAGCAGUGGGGAAUAUUGCAGAAGGGGCGCAAGCCUGAUGCAGCCAUGCCGCGUGUAUGAAGAAGGCCUUAGGGUUGUAAAGUACUUUCAGCGGGGAGGCGGUACCCGCAGAAGAAGCACCGGCUAACUCCGUGCCAGCCGCCGCGGUAAUAC
rnacentral:rRNA from 1 species